rnacentral:rRNA from 1 species
CCUACGGGAGGCAGCAGUGAGGAAUAUUGGUCAAUGGACGAGAGUCUGAACCAGCCAAGUAGCGUGAAGGAUGACUGCCCUAUGGGUUGUAAACUUCUUUUAUAUGGGAAUAAAAUGUUCCACGUGUGGGCUUUUGUAUGUACCAUAUGAAUAAGGAUAGGAUAACCCCGUGCCAGCAGCCGCGGUAAUACGGAGGAUCCGAGCGUUAUCCGGAUUUAUUGGGUUUAAAGGGAGCGUAGGUGGAUUGUUAAGUCAGUUGUGAAAGUUUGCGGCUCAACCGUGAAAUUGCAGUUGAAACUGGCAGUCUGGAGUACAGUAGAGGUGGGUGGAAUUCGUGGUGUAGCGGUGAAAUGCUUAGAGAUCACGAAGAACUCCGAUGGCGAAGGCAGCUCACUGGACUGAAACUGACACUGAGGCUCGAAAGUGUGGGUAUCAAACAGGAUUAGAUACCCUUGUAGUC